UCUCAAAGGGGAAUACAAAGAGCUAAUGUUUCAGAUGAAAUUCAUGCCACAAUUAUUGACCAUGUUGUCAAUCAUGGCCUUUCCAUGAGAGAGGCUGGGCAGCGGGUAGAUCAGCUGUACAUCAAUAGUAACAAUAUUCAAGAAUGAGAAUAGAGAAUAAUGGAGCUUGAAGCAGACACAACACCCCAUACAUUCAUUUAUGUGGAUGAAGCCGGCUUCAACCUUUCAAAAGUAAGGAGACGAGGGAGGAACCUCAUUGGUUAGAGGGCCACCGUAAAUGUGCCAGGGCAAAGGGAUGCAACAUCACCAUGUGUGCCGCUAUCUCCAGCGAUGGUGUUCUUUGCCUCUGUCACGGCUGACCCCGAACCAGUUAUUAUGUGUAGUAAGAAAUUGGAUUCCUUUGCAUGGAGAAUUUCAGUGGCUAGAGUUCACGGCUCCUCGAUUGAUUCAGAUUCAGUUGUAUUAAGUCUGCCCACUAAUAAUGUAGAGCAAAAUAGGUAUUGUGGUGUUUGCAGAGCCGACCCGAGCUGAACCCAAGACAGAAGUGGAGUCCUGCUGGGAACGAGCUGAAACAUUGGACAUGGACUGGAUGAUUUAAAAAUGAAAUGUAUUAAUGAAAUGAUAUGUGCUGUAACCAUUUGUAAUGUUUGAAUAAUCUUUAGUCUGUAACAAAUACUGUAAAGUGCUCUCUCUGUAAGACCGAAAAACAGAAUCUGGUACAACUUGAUACACUGGCCGGCCUUGAGCAGUCUCUUAUUAAAAUUGGCACGAUUCCCAGAAUUUAGUGCUGAAAUCUCUGUUAAGACUUUUCAGCUUGACUACAGAAUAAUGCUGUACUAAUAGAUGUAUGUUAUUUGAGAGUGAGAUGACAUGAGGGAAUAUAUUUUUGAAAGCCAAGUUCAUGUAAUCAAUUAUAAUCAUUAUAACUAUAACUGCUAUAUUAUGAUAUAACUAUUGGUGUUGCAUAUAUUCAAAAAACACCACUUUUCUUAUAUUGGUGUUGCAUAUAUUUAAAACACCACUCCUUUUUAUAAUGCACCCAUAUUAAGUAGUGAAUCAAGGUUGCAGGGAUUUUGUGAACUCUGCUUCACCUAACUUUUCAGAUGAAGGAGGGGGGCCAAGAAUGAGUGGAUGAGAACAUGGGCUAGUGUUGAUUUAUUAAAUGUUGUUGAUUUGUUGGCAUAUGACCUUAAUUGAGUCUGAGGAGUUGGUUGAAUUCUUUAGAGAUUACUGUUUGCCAAGAGAUAAGGACUGUCAAUAUAGAUUGAUGACUGGAUCUAAUUGGGGCUUCCCAUUGCUUUCAAUGGGACGAAAAUUGUAUAAAAACCCUGGGCCGAUCACACUGAGACCACCACAAUCAAGCUUGGCAGAGCUAUGUGUGGUCCAUCCUUUGCAGAUCUCCACAGAACAGUCCUUCUCUUUUGUUCACGCUACUCUUCCUUAUAAUAGGAGGUAAGCAUAUUAAUGGUAAUAUUGUUAUCUCGCAUUUAUUGGUUAUAUUGCUAUGAGGUUUUGAAACAAUGUUUUAGUAUUAAGAGUGUUAUAUUGAAUGUGCUAAAAUAUAGCAGUGGGUGCUUGUAGGCUUUGUGCUUAACCAGCCUGAGGGCUGCACUGAAUACAUAUAAUUGUAUUAUGUUAUUGAAGUAUUAAAUGCUGAAGCUUGUAAUAAACUUAGGAUUGCUAAUUAUUGUUACAUGUUUUCGGGUUUUGGUAGUAUGCGCAAACUACUAAACCAAUAUUGAAGGCAUUUUAAUAAAACGAAGGAGCGCUGAUGUUGCUCUGAUUCGUAAAACUUUGAAUAAAUGAGUCUGAGUGAUUUUCUUGAUUAAAUAAAAAGGUUUUAAGGACACACCGCUCGUCCAGUGCUCGAACAUAAACCACUAGGAGUUUUAAACAUCUCUGUCCUCCUUAACGUCUCCCCUGAGUUAAGAGUGUGUGCAGAGCAAAUAAUAUAAUAAAAGAGAACGUGAAAAGUGAAAACGUGACAGUUGGCGCCCAACGUGGGGCGAGCGAAAUAAACGGUCCGCAAAAUAAACCUAAUCUAGAAAACACUAAUAAAUACAAUCGACCAAUAAUAAUUAAAAUUCUUUAACAUUUUGAAACGCGUUACUGAAAUAGUUUAAACAUUUUAAUUCCAUCACGUAAUUUUGUAAAGUGAAUUGCGUAUGGGUAUUUAAACUCCGGAAACCCGACGUUGUGACGCAACCCCAGAUGCGGCAACCUCACUUGUGCACAAAUCUUCCGGUAAAAUAAAGUCUAGCAAAAGAGGGCGUUGAACGGGCUAUUAUAAAUAGUAAAAACGGGCUACUCUAAAUGGCAUCUACAGGGAGAUUCAUAGAAAAACUCCUUGAAAUAAUUUUGUGGAAGAAAGGGUUUAUGCAGUUAUAAACAGAUUGUCUCAGACUAUAGACAGAGAAAUGAAUAUUGAUGAUAAUCUGGAAAGCGCUUCGGAUAGGGGGGAACAGGAUGAGAUGGAGUCUCAACUUUCCUCCUCUGAGUCAGAAAUGGGGGAAGAAACUGCUAACAAAAAACGAGUAUGUGAAAGUAAGCUGUUACUUGCCUUAAUGUGUCCAAAGAAAGAAAGAAAAAUAAGUUAAGCAAGCAAAGGAAUAAAUCUGAUGAAAAAAAAACUGCAAGAGAAAACUCAGUAAAUCUGCCUUGGGAAGCUGCAACUAGCAGAGAGGAGAGAGCACCGGCUCCACCCACUAAUUCAUGUGACUUGCGAUCAGGUCCUAAAGGGAUACGAGCACAGAAAGUAACAAACUCUGAAAAACUUAGAGCGCUGAAUACGUUAGACAACCAAUGUAUAAUUUAUUGGCUGUUACAGCUAAUGUCUGCCAAGAAAUAAAUAAUAAUGAAAACCUCUUACAUGGAGGAGGUGUGGUUAGAGCCCUGUCUGAUGCAAGCGGUUUAAUAAUUCAGGAAGAAAGUUACGAUUGGAUUUAAAAAAAAAAAAAGGUAAAGUUAGAAGUGAGGAAUGGAUGUAACUGCAACCAGUUUGUUACAUGCAUUUCACUUGCUAUGAUUCAUGUAGUCCUAGAGAAGGAAUGCUGAAUUCAGUUAAAAAAUUUAAGUGAAGCAGUGUUAGCAGCCUUGAUACAGCCUCUGCUUGUAAUGCAAGUGAGGAAUGUUUAGUUCACCCAGAGGGGCGGUAACCUGCAGGGAGAGAGAGAGAGAGCUCACAGACUGCACCAGCUUGUGAGUAUAAGGAGGAGGGGGUCUUGGAGAGCCCAGAGAUCGGGAAUGCAUAGUGAGCAGACCUAAAAUAACAUAGAGUGAAAGACAUAGCAGACGUUCGAUUUUUAACCCAUUAGCAGCAGAAGCAGUUGAAAUUAUGAUAGAGAAGGUGGAAGAUUAUUUGAAAUAUUGGAAUUAAUAAAGAUAAUGAUACAGAAACAAAUAAUUAUAUUACAUUAAAUAAUUUAAUACAUUUAAAUAAAAUAAAUAAAUAAAUUAGAAUUAAAUUAAAUUAGAUUAAGCAUCAGGGUAUGAAGCUGAGUACAGCCUUUAAAGAAAAAGUUAGCAGUAUUUCUUCCCCAAAAACAAUAAAGCAACUCCAAGCCGUGAUGGGGUUGUUUAAUUAUGCGAGAAACACUGUAACAGGAUACUUAGUCCUGGCAGCCCCGUUGUAUCGAAAGAUGUCCCACGGUAACGCUGAGGGAAUAGGGGUCUCGUGGACAGAAGAAGACGAACUUAGGCUAACGCAGCUUAAGACGUUAAUACAAGAAGCGCAGGAUAUUACCACUCGAGUUAGUGGUAAGUCCUUGGAAGCCUACUUCCAUAUUGGUGAACAAGCUGCAGUAGGGGUGAAAAAUAAAGGGGAUGAAAUGCCAAUAAAGAAUUGGGGUUUCAAUUUCACCUCACAGAACAGCAGUUUUGUUAUGAAAAAAGGAUGCUAACCGCUCUUGCUAGAGUAGCACCGUCCUUAUUCAACCUAGCUCAGGAUGAUCUUAUUGAAGUUUUCAGUGAUACCCCAGGACUAGCUACCCUAACAAAGGGAUCACUGAUAAACACGAAAGCGCUUAAAUUACGGUGGGAUAGAUGGGUCACUUUGCUAGCAGACCCUAGAAUAAUCUUCACUACCGUCUCCGAGCUAGCCUCUAACCUCAGAAGUAAAUUCCUUCACCUUCCCCCGUUUGAAAAAUGGGAGGAAUGAACUGCCCCAGCAGGACAGCCGUUUGUGCCUGACUGGUUAAUCUUCUCAGAUGGAUCCAUUCCAGUUUGUGGAAUAGGGAUAUCCGUCGGAAGAAGUCGGAAUGGAAUUUAUGAGGAAACGUAACACCACUCUGAAGUGGUAUCAGGUCGAUCCGCUUAAGUAGCAGAAGCUAAAGCCCUAUUGAAGGGAUUACAAAUGGCUCAAAGUUUGGGGACGCCCAGUGAGACCAUAUUAUUGAUUACAGACUCAAGUUACUGCACCCAAGAAUUCAAUAUUCACUCUCUAACAUGGAAAGAGAAUGGUUACUCUGACCAUAAGGGUAAGCCCAUAGCGCAUGCCAAUAUAUGGAAAGAGAUUGAAACAUUCAGGAGCAAUAGGAUCAGUGUUCAGCAUGCAGCAGGUCACCAGAAGGGGAAAGAAGUAACUAUAGUGGGAAAUAAUCGCGCUGAUGAAUUAGCGCAAGGAGCAGUACAAGGUCAUCAGCAUCAGCAGCAAAACUGAUCAAUUUGCUAGCUGAUAGCCAGCUGUUGUCUGAGUUCCCGCCGGACGGGGACAGAUACCAGUUGGAACAAGGGAAUUCUAUACCGACUGUUUAAAACAAGCAAAAGGAUAGUACCCCCUAAAGCAAGUCGACAAGCCAUAGUACUGGCAGCUCAUCAAGGAGCAGGUGCCUUGCAUAGUGCACUUAAGGGAACUUUGCAUCAGUUGCGAGAUUAAUGGUGGACUGAACUGCAUGCUGAAACUGUGGAGAUCUGCAGAAGAUGUUUGCCCUGCCUGCAACACAUUCAGAAACCAAAAGGAACAAAGUAAGAAUUGCACCUGGAAAUAUUUCAUUAAAUAUUUUCAUGAAUGAGUUUUUAAGAAUCAAAUACAUAUUUGAAUUACAGACUGCAUGAAAAAUCAAAGACUUUAUUCAUUUGACAAUGAUUAAGGAAAAGAAAAUAUACAGUAUACUAUUUAACUCUAGAGUAUACAUUAAAUAAAUGUAAUUCUGUUUAUAACAAUUUAAAAAGAAAAAUGUUAUUGCAGUUUACUAGUAAUUCUGUAAUGGUUAUAAGUAAAGCCUAGCAUGGUUUCGUCUUAUUUUAUUACAUGAAUUGGAAAAACAAAAAUAAGAAUAAAACUUAAAAAUAAAUAAUUAGUAAUAAUACAUUUGAACAGUAAUGAAAGUAAAAACUUUUAUAUUAUAAAUGUGAUUAUUUUACUGGUUACAUCGUUAAAAUAAAACUAAAGCUUUUAUGUUUUGUUUUUGCAAAAGGAAUGUAACAGAAUUAUUGCCUUGACUUGACAGGUAAAGCAAAACCAUGCAAUGAGAAUGAUAGGGAUUUAAGAGAGCAGUUUGGAAAGUACAAAAUGCUUAUGACUGUUUAUUGAGAAAGUGUGUUAAUAUACACUUUGCUUUUGAAACACAGAAGGCAGCUUUUGUAUUGCAGAACUAUUGAAAAAAAAAGUACAAUGAAUAUUUUUUUCUUUUAACACUUUCUUAAAUUCAGUUUUGAUGUGCUCUGGGUGUUUUUGACAAAUGGAAAAGAUAAGAAGCUUGGUCUUUGUGUCUUAAAUAUAUACUAACUUUUGUAAGUCUGUAACAAGAACUGAAAGGAGUGAACCUUGCUUGGAAACCAUGACAACACUGAUAAACAAGUCAGCUGGGAGCCACUUUAACUCUUUAGGUGCAGGUAUAGUGGAAGAAGUUAAUAGGUAUGCUAUUGCAAGCAAUGAAAUGUUAUACGUUUGAAAAAAUAACUUUUAGCCUGUCUUGGUUUUAGUGAUUAUAUAUAAUUGAUUAACAACUAUGGGUUUUUGUAACAUCAAUUGAUAAAAUAACAUCAAGAAAUGUGGAAGUUUAUUCUUUAAGUCUCGGCGAUAUAUUCAUUUUAACAGAUAUAUCUGCUUGUAAUAAGACAAAGAAAAACUUGCACUCAUAUUUCAAUAGAGACCUUGUGAAUAAAUAAUCAAACGAUGAAACAGGUCAUUGAAGGAGAAGCAAGCGCUUUUUUCUCUGUUACGAGCUGAUUUCCAAGAGAAUAAUAAUAAUAAUAAAAAUACAUUUAAAAAUUAUAAUAUAAAAUAAAAUAAAUAAGCAAGAACCCAUAGCAUAAGCAUUGGAAAUUGCUGAACAGGUUCCUUAUGACCCGUGAUUUAUAGGGAUUCAUUUACAUAGGAUGAUAUUUAAAUACUUUUCCAGCAGACCCUACUGUAUAGACAGACAUAUAUUUAUGAGCAGGGAAUGACAAACAUCCAUUUCAUGAAGCAGCAGGGAUUCUGGAAACUGUUUGAAAUAUUUAAUAUAACAAGAAUAAUGAGAAUUUUAAAAAAAACAUGUGAACAAUGUUGUUAUACUGCACCUUGGCUUUUCUCUGUUCGUGUUCUUUAUGAGGAGCAGGAGCCGGUGUUUGAAUCUGAGUCUCUCGAGGAACCUGAAGGGGGAUCUGUCACGGCUGACCCCGAACCAGUUAUUAUGUGUAGUAAGAAAUUGGAUUCCUUUGCAUGGAGAAUUUCAGUGGCUAGAGUUCACGGCUCCUCGAUUGAUUCAGAUUCAGUUGUAUUAAGUCUGCCCACUAAUAAUGUAGAGCAAAAUAGGUAUUGUGGUGUUUGCAGAGCCGACCCGAGCUGAACCCAAGACAGAAGUGGAGUCCUGCUGGGAACGAGCUGAAACAUUGGACAUGGACUGGAUGAUUUAAAAAUGAAAUGUAUUAAUGAAAUGAUAUGUGCUGUAACCAUUUGUAAUGUUUGAAUAAUCUUUAGUCUGUAACAAAUACUGUAAAGUGCUCUCUCUGUAAGACCGAAAAACAGAAUCUGGUACAACUUGAUACACUGGCCGGCCUUGAGCAGUCUCUUAUUAAAAUUGGCACGAUUCCCAGAAUUUAGUGCUGAAAUCUCUGUUAAGACUUUUCAGCUUGACUACAGAAUAAUGCUGUACUAAUAGAUGUAUGUUAAUAUGCUUGUUUUAAAUGGUAUAGAUUGCUGUGGUAACAUAUAAUCAUAGGUAGUGAUAAUUAUUGUUAGUAUGAAAUACUAUGAACAAUUUUUAUGUAUAAGAUCAUAUGAUUCACUUUGCUUAAUAUGAUAGCAUACCUGAAGCUGUUUUCUAUCAAGAUGAGCAUAGUUAAAAACGGAGUCCUAAUUCAAUGAAAAGAAUUACUGUGUGCUUACAUUCAAGAAUUAUAACUUCUGAAUAUAAAGGGAAAAGGAGUUAGGAGUAUUCUUAAGGGAAAGAGAAAAACAGAAAAGGAUUAAAAGACCUCGCUUUGAGUAGGUUUCUGCUUGUAAUUCAGUUUUAAAAUAAGUAGGUGAGUAAGAACAACCUAGAGUAAAAGCAGACUCUAACUUAAGAAAAUAAGCAUUGUCAGAAGAUACACCACAACUAGAGAGCAGAAAAAUGGAAUAAAAUCCUAUUGUAAUAUUGCGGAUAUACUGCUGCUAGCAGAAAGUAAUAAGGUUAGCAGCCAUACGCUAUAAGAAGUAAUGUACUAGUUUGACUCUGAAGUUAAAAGACGCAGCAUAAAAAGAUGUUGUGUUUAAAAUGCAAAAUAAAAGGAUUGAAUAAAUAAUGAAGAAUAAAAGCAGGAGGUUUUAGGAGAGUAAACUCUAUGUGACCUGUCUUCUUGAACUCUCUAUCAGCCUGCCCUUGGAGAAAUUAAUAUUAGCUGCUGGAAGGCCUCUUUGGUGGGAAGAAGCCGGAAUUUUUUUAUCAGAAGGCUUAUAGUAUCGGGCCGGACUGCAAAAAUAGGGAGUUAGAACGGAUGGUCUUAGCACUUAAGAUAGUUAGUUGUCGGGCGGAACAAGCACGUAAGAUACAGGUGUAAGGAAAGUUCUAGGGAACAUUAAUCACUAUUAAACUUGGCAAGAAAAGAGGUGUCUCCAGCAAGCUGGUUUUAGCCAGUAUGUGUAUAGCUGAAAAAUACAGGGUCAUCUGGAUGUCAAUUAAGUUCAAGCUACCAGGGGCCCAUAGGAGAAAACAUUACAGCUUUACAGCUCAGUAAAAUAGUUAGGUUUUCCAUAAGGAGAAAACUCUACAUUAAAAAGAUAUAAGAUGGAAGUUCCCUAUAAUACCUGCUAAACACACACCUGUAAGGAAAGAAUGAAAUUAAUUUGAGAGUGAGAUGACAUGAGGGAAUAUAUUUUUGAAAGCCAAGUUCAUGUAAUCAAUUAUAAUCAUUAUAACUAUAACUGCUAUAUUAUGAUAUAACUAUUGGUGUUGCAUAUAUUCAAAAAACACCACUUUUCUUAUAUUGGUGUUGCAUAUAUUUAAAACACCACUCCUUUUUAUAAUGCACCCAUAUUAAGUAGUGAAUCAAGGUUGCAGGGAUUUUGUGAACUCUGCUUCACCUAACUUUUCAGAUGAAGGAGGGGGGCCAAGAAUGAGUGGAUGAGAACAUGGGCUAGUGUUGAUUUAUUAAAUGUUGUUGAUUUGUUGGCAUAUGACCUUAAUUGAGUCUGAGGAGUUGGUUGAAUUCUUUAGAGAUUACUGUUUGCCAAGAGAUAAGGACUGUCAAUAUAGAUUGAUGACUGGAUCUAAUUGGGGCUUCCCAUUGCUUUCAAUGGGACGAAAAUUGUAUAAAAACCCUGGGCCGAUCACACUGAGACCACCACAAUCAAGCUUGGCAGAGCUAUGUGUGGUCCAUCCUUUGCAGAUCUCCACAGAACAGUCCUUCUCUUUUGUUCACGCUACUCUUCCUUAUAAUAGGAGGUAAGCAUAUUAAUGGUAAUAUUGUUAUCUCGCAUUUAUUGGUUAUAUUGCUAUGAGGUUUUGAAACAAUGUUUUAGUAUUAAGAGUGUUAUAUUGAAUGUGCUAAAAUAUAGCAGUGGGUGCUUGUAGGCUUUGUGCUUAACCAGCCUGAGGGCUGCACUGAAUACAUAUAAUUGUAUUAUGUUAUUGAAGUAUUAAAUGCUGAAGCUUGUAAUAAACUUAGGAUUGCUAAUUAUUGUUACAUGUUUUCGGGUUUUGGUAGUAUGCGCAAACUACUAAACCAAUAUUGAAGGCAUUUUAAUAAAACGAAGGAGCGCUGAUGUUGCUCUGAUUCGUAAAACUUUGAAUAAA